UUUGAACGCGAAGGACCUUACCUGGGCUUGACAUACACCGGAUCGGGCUAGAGAUAGUUCUCUCCCUUGUGGCUGGUGUACAGGUGGUGCAUGGUUGUCGUCAGCUCGUGUCGUGAGAUGUUGGGUUAAGUCCCGCAACGAGCGCAACCCUUGUCUUAUGUUGCCAGCAUUUGGUUGGGGACUCAUGAGAGACUGCCGGGGUUAACUCGGAGGAAGGUGGGGAUGACGUCAAAUCAUCAUGCCCCUUAUGUCCAGGGCUUCACACAUGCUACAAUGGUCGGUACAACGCGCAGCGAGCCUGUGAGGGUGAGCGAAUCGCUGAAAGCCGGUCGUAGUUCGGAUUGGGGUCUGCAACUCGACCCCAUGAAGUCGGAGUCGCUAGUAAUCGCAGAUCAGCAACGCUGCGGUGAAUACGUUCCCGGGUCUUGUACACACGCA
rnacentral:rRNA from 1 species